CUGAGGGGUGUUAGGAAAACCUCCUCACUCUCAUGUAGAAGACACAGGAAGAGACAGUCCUGCUCUUUCUCUGGACAUUAUCGUGUGUGGAAGUGAGGCCUGGUGCUGGGGCAGUCAUCUUGUCAAUACACAGUAGAGUCCAGGGCCAAGAGAACUGUCAACAGCCAGAGUUCUGUGACUCUGUGAUAAAGUCCAUCCUGUUUCUGGUUAUGUGAGAUAGUAAAACUCCUUUUUGUAUGCAUCAGGGUCCAGCUUUGCUUCCUGGUUGCUGAUUCUGCUGACCCACAGUGACCUUGGACUCACCACCAGACAUGAAAGCAAUAGCUUUGCAUAGACUUCUUCAAUUGCCCAAGAGUCAAGGUGGCAUAGAUUUGCAUUUUAGAAGCCUUAAGACUCUGGCAGCAGCAUAGAGGAUGUUUUGGAGUUGGAGGAGACUGGAUACAGGGAAAAGAUCAAACUUGGGCCAGUCUGCAACUGAUGGCUGAACCUUCCUUGCUGUUCUGAAACCCAUAACUGGAAGUUGACUUGCCCUGAAUUUUUUCUUGCAUGCGACCCAAGAACCCCCUCUUGGGGUCUGGAUCAGGACCCCUUUCCUGUAACAUAAGGACAGCAUUCCUCCCAUCCAGAAGACACAGCAACAAGGAGCCAUCUUGGAAGCAGAGAUAGCAGCCUUCACCAGACAACCAAACCUGCCAGUGCCUUGAUCUUGGGCUUCCUGACUGUAAGAAAUAAAACUGUUCUUUAUCAAUUACUCGGUGUCAGGUAUUUUGCUAUAGCAGCACAAAUGAACUAAGACAGAGAGACAAUAGCCUUGAACUUGGAGAA
rnacentral:lncRNA from 10 species